AGAGGGGGCAAGCGUUGUUCGGAAUUACUGGGCGUAAAGGGCGCGUAGGCGGCCUGUUAAGUCGAACGUGAAAUCCCCGGGCUCAACCCGGGAACUGCGUCCGAUACUGGCAGGCUUGAAUCCGGGAGAGGGAUGUGGAAUUCCAGGUGUAGCGGUGAAAUGCGUAGAUAUCUGGAGGAACACCGGUGGCGAAGGCGGCAUCCUGGACCGGUAUUGACGCUGAGGCGCGAAAGCCAGGGGAGCAAACGGGAUUAGAUACCCCGGUAGUCCUGGCCCUAAACGAUGAAUGCUUGGUGUGGCGGGUAUCGAUCCCUGCCGUGCCGAAGCUAACGCAUUAAGCAUUCCGCCUGGGGAGUACGGUCGCAAGGCUGAA
rnacentral:rRNA from 1 species